GUCCAACACUUUAUCCAUUGCACCACCUUCCAGGAUCCAAGGAAAAAGAAUUUUUUUUCAACUGAAUCGUUGUUAGUGUCUCUGCCCCAAUAGUUAUAACCCUUCUUCUGGCUUUGCAUCGCAGAUCCCUGCACUCGCUUAUCUAUCAAUAUUUCUCUCGGAAUUUAAGCUCCCUCAAGAUAGGAUCAUGCCACAUUUACCCAGGUCCAGAACAGAGCCUUGCUUAUGAUCAAUCUUCUUGUCUGUGAAAUGAGGAUGAAACAACAGCUACCCCACAGAGAUGCCGUACAGAUUGAGAUGUGAAAGACAUUUUGUAAACUUCAGAGUGCAACGCAAAUGUUGAUUUGGUUCUUUGUGAGGAAUUUGGAGGAUGCAGCUGUGGUAUAAAGAGAACUCUAUUUAGAGUCGGGUGCUGUGGGUUCAAAUUAGACACACACUGUGUAUCUCUUAGGCACAUACUGUGCCACCACAGAGAACCCACUAGACCCUUCUAAGUCUUCAUUCCUCCUGACCUCCCCUGGUUGGGCUGUGGUGGAGAGUAAGUGAGAUCAGGUAUAGAAGCACCAAGUGCAGUACCUGCUACACAAGCAACACACAAGACAUGCUUGGGGCUGAAUUUGGUCCAGCGGUGGGUUAUUUGAGUUGAAUCAGGCUGACUUCCCCCAAACCCUUUGCUCCAUUCCACUCUCAAAGGCCACAUGUAUGCUGGACAUUUUGGGGCUCCAUGCUCUACUGUUACCUCAAAAGUUUCCUUCUCCAGUCACCUGUCACUGUCAAGGUGACUUCUUCUUCUCAAUCACAGAAGCCUGAACCCUGGAGUCAUCCUUGACUCACACUCUCUUCUCUCUAACUUCUCCCUCCCCCCCCCCCCCCCACACACGUGGGUUGGUCGCCAUGGCCUGUCAAUAUUUCCUUGGAAACACCUCGCCCAUGUUCCCUUGGUCCCCAUUCACGUUGCCACUGCCACCAGCUCUGUCUGACUCUUUGGGCUACCCUGCAAGCCUGCACUGCUGGGAAGACCUUCUGAAUGGCCACUCUCCUCUAGCCUCUGUCUCCUUCCCACUCAUCUUCCUCAAACUCUGCUCUUAUUAGUUGCUGACCUGCUCCAGGAUGGAUAAUGGUUCCUUAUUUGCCAGACAACUCUGCCAGCUCUUCAGGUCUACCUGGCUGAUCCUACCCAGGCAACUUGGGGUUCCAGAGGGCUGGAGCUGACACACAGUGCCCAAGACAGUCAAGCAGGCUCCCUCACCGAUGGAGUCGGGGACGUGUUUUCCAGAAGCAUUGAGGCAGAAGCUGAGGUUGAUGCUGGAGGAAGACCAAGAGGAAAGUUGGCGGCCUCCCACCCCACAAACUCCUGUGGAAUUCAUACCUGUAAACCACAGCCUUGUCCACACCGAAGGACCCCACAAUCAGAUCUGCAAGUCAAGAAACCACCCGUUGUACAUACAGUAAGACUCAAAACAAGAACUUUCCGGAUUAACCCCUUCAUGGUCUAAGAAAGCAAGAGUGAGAUGACGGCGCCAUCUGGUGGUCGUAUUUCAGAACUGCACCGAGAAGUUUGAGGGGAUAUGGGGAAGGAUAGUGUUAAAGCGAAAGGGGCGGGGUGGCGGUGGGUAUAACUCACCAGGA